rnacentral:sRNA from 1 species
UGCUUCUUUUAUGGUUGUUUUGUUGCUCAGCGAGAAAGCGUUGCCGCAGGCAACGACCCGAAGGGCGAAGCGCGCAGCGCUGAGUCAUCCUUCCCCCACCACCA